CCUCCUUUCUUCCGCCGUGGGGCCUCUUGCCCCCUGGGGGCCCCCCUGCUGCAGCGACGCCGCGUGAGUGAAGAAGUAUUUCGGUAGGUAAAGCUCUAUCAGCAGGGAAGAAGCAAGACGGUACCUGACUAAGAAGCCCCGGCUAACUACGUGCCAGCAGCCGCGGUAAUACGUAGGGGGCAAGCGUUAUCCGGAUUUACUGGGUGGAAAGGGAGCGUAGACGGUAUGGCAAGUCUGAAGUGAAAGCCCAGGGCUUAACCCUGGGACUGCUUUGGAAACUGUUAGACUAGAGUGCUGGAGAGGUAAGUGGAAUUCCUAGUGUAGCGGUGAAAUGCGUAGAUAUUAGGAGGAACACCAGUGGCGAAGGCGGCUUACUGGACAGUAACUGACGUUGAGGCUCGAAAGCGUGGGGAGCAAACAGGAUUAGAUACCCUAGUAGUC
rnacentral:rRNA from 1 species